AGUGAACGCUGGCGGUAGGCCUAACACAUGCAAGUCGAACGGCAGCACGGUAAGAGCUUGCUCUUACGGGUGGCGAGUGGCGGACGGGUGAGGAAUACAUCGGAAUCUACUUUUUCGUGGGGGAUAACGUAGGGAAACUUACGCUAAUACCGCAUACGACCUACGGGUGAAAGCAGGGGAUCUUCGGACCUUGCGCGAUUGAAUGAGCCGAUGUCGGAUUAGCUAGUUGGCGGGGUAAAGGCCCACCAAGGCGACGAUCCGUAGCUGGUCUGAGAGGAUGAUCAGCCACACUGGAACUGAGACACGGUCCAGACUCCUACGGGAGGCAGCAGUGGGGAAUAUUGGACAAUGGGCGCAAGCCUGAUCCAGCCAUACCGCGUGGGUGAAGAAGGCCCUCGGGUUGUAAAGCCCUUUUGUUGGGAAAGAAAAGCAGCAGGUUAAUACCCCGCUGUUCUGACGGUACCCAAAGAAUAAGCACCGGCUAACUUCGUG
rnacentral:rRNA from 1 species